AAAUGCAGAACGGGGUGCCUAAAAUUAAAGGCUGAGAUCAUACCCGCUGAACCUGGACCGGGUAAUGCCGGUUAGGGAUGAGCAAAUCAGCUAUC
rnacentral:ncRNA from 1 species